rnacentral:lncRNA from 1 species
UUUUAUUUAUUUCCCGCACUCGCUUUUAUUUUAUUUAUUUCUCGCACUCGCUUUACUUUAUUUAUUUCUCGCACUUGCUUUAAGUUAUUUAUUUCCUCGCACUCGCUUUAAAUUAUUUACUUUCCGCACUCGCACUACUUUUAUUUAUUUUAAUGCACUUUUACUUUACCAUGUCUAGCUAAAUUUAUAAGGUUAGGAUGUAAGGAUCAUAAUUGAACCGAUAAUCCGUACAAUUGUU